GAGAAAGUGAAUAUUAUUGGUUAGUAGUUAAUGUGAAAUUAUGAUUUAUUAAAAUUGAGAUUUUUAGGUGAAAUUUUAAUUUUUCAAUAUUUAUAUUGUGUGAAGCUACGAAAUUUAUUUAAAAGACGAGGAUUAGAUACCCUCUUAUAAUAAAUGUGAAUUUUUAUGCCAGGGUAGUAAUAGUUAUGUUCUUGAAACCCAAAGAAUUUGGCGGUAUUUUAGUCCUUUCAGAGGAAUCUGUCCCGUAAUCGACAGUCCACGAGAUAAUUUACUUAUCCUUGUAUUUCAGUUUGUAUACCUCCGUCAUAAGAAGAUCUUUUUAGAGAUAAAUUUUCUUAAUAUACUAAGUAUAAAAUGUCAGGCCAAGGUGCAAUUUAUGGAUGAGUGGAGAUGGAUUACAAUAAAUUUAUUUAAAUGGAUUAAAUUAUUUAAUUUUUUAUGAAGGUGGAUUUGAUAGUAAUUUUAAUUAUUUGGUAUUAUGAUUUUGGCUCUAAAAUAUGCACACAUCGCCCGUCGCUCUCAUUUCUAAAAUGAGAUAAGUCGUAACAUAGUAGGUGUAUCGGAAGAUGUACCUAGUAAGUA
rnacentral:rRNA from 1 species